GAAAUGCGAUAAGUAGUGUGAAUUGCAGAAUUCAGUGAAUCAUCGAAUCUUUGAACGCACAUUGCGCCCCUUGGUAUUCCAUGGGGCAUGCCGGUUCGAGCGUCAUUUGUACCCUCAAGCUCUGCUUGGUGUUGGGUGUUUGUCCCGUCUCCGCGCGUGGACUCGCCCCAAAGUGAUUGGCAGCCGGCGUACUGGUCCCGGAGCGCAGCACAUGUCGCGCAAACGAGUGCCUUGGUACGGCGGCGUCCAUAAGCCCCUCUCUCACGCUCUUGACCUCGGAUCAGGUAGGGAUACCCGCUGAACUUAAGC
rnacentral:misc_RNA from 1 species